AUGCAGAGGGCAAUUGCAGAGGCUCUGGAACUUGACCCUUCAGUAAUGGCCAGUCUAGAUGAGCAAGAUGAAGAGGAUGACUUUAACGAAGUUGAUGAAAGCUCAAGGAAUGAGAUAGGCAUUGUUGGACAAGCGAUUGAUCAAACCCUGAGGGACACCAAAUUGAUGAUGAUUUUCCUUAACGGAAGUGAUGAAGAGGUUGACGUAGGAAUUCCUCUUACAAGAUAUGGCAACAAUGUAAUGAUAUGGACCUUCAGUAGAAGAUGCCUGGAAUUGAAUCAUGGCCGUUCAAGGGUAGAAAACAAGCUAAGAUAUACGCAUGCUAUCCUUGGUUUCCGUGAUUCUAUCAAAGAGUUGUCACUGUCACAGUUUUGUGGUCUGCUGCAUCAAGAAGCUGCUACCAUAGUUGCCCGCAACCCAUGUAUGCUGGACAUCAACCCAACAAUUGUGGCAGAUUGUUGUCUCUAUGAGUUAUUUCUGCAUUACAAUUUUCACAUGGCCACUAAUUUUGAUUGGGUGUCUCAUGCUUCCAACUAUUGGGUAUGCGAUGCAAUCAUACAAGGGUACACAGCAAGGGAUAUUAGUAAUGCAUUACAUCGAGAGAUAAAUUGGAAGUGCAAUGAUGUUUCUCUGCUAGAUGGUGUUCUUAAAUGGUAUAUGGAACAGUUGAUGCUUCCUUUUCUCGUAAUUAACGAUGAUGUUGUCUAUAAAGAAGGCCCAUACUGUUGGAUAUCAGUCACAUCGAGGAAUAUAGAAGUUCGUCGUAUGCAAACUAUACCUGCAGUGACAUCAUCUUUCUUCCUGGCAUUUGAAAGAUCUGACCACCCACCAACUUUACCAAAUGUACUUUUUGAACAUUCCAGCAAGCUUGGUGUGCUAGUUCUCAAAUGGUGUGCCUUUGAUUUUGCAUUACCUCCUUUCCUAAAAUGCCGUAGCCUAAAAUUCCUUGGAUUGGAAAACUGCACAGAUGAUAAAACACGUCAAGGAGAUGAUCAUACAGAUUGGGCAUAUUUAUAUAGCCUAUCGGUGUUGGAUCUGCGUUACACAGAAUGGAAUCAAAUCUUAAGUGAAGAAAAGAUGGAUCUCAUGACUAAUAUCAGAGAGCUAAAUAUAGAAGGAGUCAGGGGUUGGCAGUAUAUAGCUAACCUACAACGGCGGCUCCCUAACCUCCAGAGGCUCCGAAUAAUCAAACCAACAUGCCAAUGGAAGACAUCAGAGGAUUUUGAUAACUCUUUUAUAGAUAAGCCAAGUAUGGAAAUACUUGACUUGUCAGGCAACAGUGACAUGGAAAUUCUUCCAGCAAGCCUAUCAACAACAAGUAGCCUUCGGUUGCUUGUACUUGAUGGUUGCUAUGGGUUGGAAAAUGUUGGCGGGCUUCCUUUGUCCCUCGAAUAUUUUAGCUUUAAUGGUCAUGGGCCAGCUUCUCAAUGGACGCAAACCGUUGAGCUACCUCCGAAACAAUUCCGUUCAUCCACGACAACAGGUAAUAAGGAUAUCAGAGUGUCCAAGAUCUCCCUACAAGGUUGCACGCAAUUGAAGAACCUGUUUUUGUGUUGGCUACCCAACCUCAUAGAAUUGGACCUCUCUGAAACUGCAAUCAAAAUACUUGAUUUCAAGAGUAUGGUGGUGCAAGUCCCAAGGCUCAAGCGGCUAUUUCUAAUAGGAUGCAAGCAUCUUCGUGCUAUAAUUUGGUUGGAUGAGAGUGGUUCUAAGGUAAAAUCUAACCUGGAGUUGGUGUGCAUAGACACGCGAGUUGGGAUUGUGUGUGCUCGGCCAUCCAUCAACAGGAUCAAAUCCUUCCGGUUGCAGGUGCAUGUUGUUGCUAUGGAUGCGAGGCUUACUCGCUCUUUGAAGGGUCUGUUGUGGCCUUAUUUAAAAAGGGACACACCUGAGGAUGUGUUGAGACCUAAAGGAUGGGACGGACCAAGUCGUAAAGGCCCACCUAAAGAUGUUUAUUCUUAUAAUAUCCACCUCACCUCCUCACCUGUGUAUGAUGGAGUUGUUCAAUUUGAAGCAACCCCCAAGAAUAAGAUUGGCCCCAGUGAUCAAAAGAGCUUGCAGCAGAUUAUUCCAGCAGGCCCGUACAAUGAUGUCCUUAGCAUGGUUAGCGAUCCCCCGAUGCAGGCUUUCCCGCAACCUCCGACUACACAGUCGGACCGGCAUAUAGAGAUUGCUAAAGGGAGCUGCUAUGUGGAGAGAGAACUGAAUGGAGAUCUCGGUGGAUUAAUGGGAUAUUAUACGGAAUCCCUGCAUGUGCAUGACGUAUCCAUUCGUGCCAUUGUUCUUCAUGAUACGAGUGUCCCUUACGGGUGUCCCUUCCUUAGGUGGUGCUGCGUGGAGAGGUGCCCAAAGUUGGAUACCGUCUUUGUUUUGUCUGAUGGAUUUAUUAUGGUGGAGACCUUGUGGGCAUCGGAUCUCCUAAUGGCCCGCUGGAUUUGGAGUGAAAAUCCCAACCAUAUUUACUUGUACAUCGAAUCCUUCCAAGAUUUACAGCACCUACACCUGCGCUCCUGUCCCAGCCUCCAGUUCGUGCUCCCGGUGUUUGUCUCCUCCUUCAACGGCUUGAAAACCCUCCACAUCAUCCACUGCGGCAACCUCGUGCAUGUCUUUGAGCUGGAUAAAAAGUACGCAAAUGCCCCCCACAUCAUCCACGACGGUGUACUAUUCCCGAAGCUGACCACCAUCCACCUACACGACCUCCCGAAGCUGCAGCAGAUAUGCGAGGUCAAGAUGGUGGCGCCCGCGCUCGAGAGCAUCAAGAUCAGGGGGUGCUGGAGCCUGCGCAGGCUACCAUCCGUGGGCGCCCGUGGCCAAGGCGAGAAGAAGCCGACCAUUGAGAUCGAGAAUGACGUGUGGGACGUUCUGGAGUGGGACGACGACCACUGCCCCGACCACUUCGAACCGCCAGUCCACUCGCGCCACUACAAGGAGAGGCUGCCCAGGGUCUCCGUUCUGAGGUGA
rnacentral:rRNA from 1 species